rnacentral:rRNA from 1 species
CUACGGGAGGCUCCAGUGAGGAAUAUUGGGCAAUGGAGGCAACUCUGACCCAGCCAUGCCGCGUGCAGGAAGACGGCCCUCUGGGUUGUAAACUGCUUUUGUUUGGGAAUAAACCCUUCUACGUGUAGAAGGCUGAAGGUACCUUACGAAUAAGGAUCGGCUAACUCCGUGCCAGCAGCCGCGGUAAUACGGAGGAUCCAAGCGUUAUCCGGAUUUAUUGGGUUUAAAGGGUCCGUAGGCGGAUCUUUAAGUCAGUGGUGAAAGCCCACAGCUCAACUGUGGAACUGCCAUUGAUACUGGAGAUCUUGAGUGUAGUAGAAGUAGGCGGAAUAGGGCAUGUAGCGGUGAAAUGCAUAGAUAUGCCCUAGAACACCGAUUGCGAAGGCAGCUUACUAUGUUACAACUGACGCUGAGGGACGAAAGCGUGGGGAGCAAACAGGAUUAGAUACCCCGGUAGUC